GACGAACGCUGGCGGCGUGCCUAAUACAUGCAAGUCGACCUUAGUGGCGAACGUGUGAGUAACACGUGGGUAACCUCCCCAUCAGAAGGGGAUAACACUUGGACACAGGUUCUAACACCGUAUACUGAUGGAUGGACCCGUGGUGCAUUAGCGAGUUGGUGAGGUAACGGCUCACGAAGGCCACGAUGCAUAGCCGACCUGAGAGGGGGAUCGGCAACAUUGGGACUGAGACACGGCCCGAACUCCUAGGGGAGGAAGCAGUAGGGAAUCUUCGGCAAUGGACGAAAGUCUGACCGAGCAAGGCCGCGUGAGUGAAGAAGGUUUUCGGAUCGUAAAACUCUGUUGUUAGAGAAGCGGUAUCUAACCAGAAAGCCACGGCUAACUACGUGCCAGCCGCCGCGGUAAUUC
rnacentral:rRNA from 1 species